UACGUAAGUCUCAAGCGUUACCCGGAAUUAUUGGGUGUAAAGGGUCCGUAGGCGGCUCUGUAAGUUGGAUAUUAAAGACCGGGGCUCAACCUCGUGUUUGUGUUCAAAACUGCAGAGCUAGAAUCAGGGAGAGGUAAGCGGAAUUCUGAGUGUAGGGGUGCAAUCCGUAGAUACUCAGAGGAACACCAAAAGCGAAGGCAGCUUACUGGAACUGUAUUGACGCUCAGGGACGAAAGCGUGGGUAGCGAAAAGG
rnacentral:rRNA from 1 species